UUUGCUAACCCUACCCCUUGUAGUCAAUAAAGUUCUCCUUUGUGACUGGUGUAGGAGACUUAUUGAGGGGUGGGUUUAAUUAUGCCUAGGAGGCCCCUUGGGUCUGCAAACUAAGGGACACUAUCUUCUUUUUUGGCCCCCAACUUGGGGAGGUGCCCCAAGUUCUUGUAUUGGGUCGAGUACCCAUAGGACUAUUAGGCCUGUGUUUCCCCAAGGACAUAGGACUGAGACAGUCCCUUCUCAGGGUGGUGGCAUCACAUGUUACCCCUGGACUCUGUGGUGGGGCUUGAAAGCGGGUCUGCCCGGGCUUAGGCGCCCCUGGACAGACACAUGGAGUCCGGAAGGUGGACGGGCAUAGUGAGGUGGGACGCUCAACAUAGGAGCUCUCCCUA